rnacentral:rRNA from 1 species
AUUUGAUAGUACCUUACUACUUGGAUAACCGUGGUAAUUCUAGAGCUAAUACAUGCUAAAAACCCCAACUUCGGGAGGGGUGUAUUUAUUAGAUAAAAAACCAAUGCCCUUCGGGGCUCCUUGGUGAUUCAUAAUAACUUCUCAGAUCGCAUGGCCUUGCGCCGGCGACGGUUCAUUCAAAUUUCUGCCCUAUCAACUUUCGAUGGUAAGGUAUUGGCUUACCAUGGUUUCAACGGGUAACGGGGAAUUAGGGUUCGAUUCCGGAGAGGGAGCCUGAGAAACGGCUACCACAUCCAAGGAAGGCAGCAGGCGCGCAAAUUACCCAAUCCCGACACGGGGAGGUAGUGACAAUAAAUACUGAUACAGGGCUCUUUAGGGUCUUGUAAUUGGAAUGAGUACAAUUUAAACCUCUUAACGAGGAACAAUUGGAGGGCAAGUCUGGUGCCAGCAGCCGCGGUAAUUCCAGCUCCAAUAGCGUAUAUUAAAGUUGUUGCAGUUAAAAAGCUCGUAGUUGAACCUUUGGCCUGGCUGGCGGGUCCGCCUCACCGCGUGCACUCGUCCGGCCGGGCCUUUUCUUCUGGAGAACCGCAUGCCCUUCACUGGGUGUGUUGGGGACCAGGACUUUUACUUUGAAAAAAUUAGAGUGUUCAAAGCAGGCCUUUGCUCGAAUACGUUAGCAUGGAAUAAUAGAAUAGGACGUGCGGUCCUAUUUUGUUGGUUUCUAGGACCGCCGUAAUGAUUAAUAGGGACAGUCGGGGGCAUCAGUAUUCAAUUGUCAGAGGUGAAAUUCUUGGAUUUAUUGAAGACUAACUACUGCGAAAGCAUUUGCCAAGGAUGUUUUCAUUAAUCAGUGAACGAAAGUUAGGGGAUCGAAGACGAUCAGAUACCGUCGUAGUCUUAACCAUAAACUAUGCCGACUAGGGAUCGGGCGGUGUUACUAUUUUGACCCGCUCGGCACCUUACGAGA